rnacentral:rRNA from 1 species
UACGGGGGGGGCAAGCGUUGUUCGGAAUUACUGGGCGUAAAGGGCUCGUAGGCGGCCAACUAAGUCAGACGUGAAAUCCCUCGGCUUAACCGGGGAACUGCGUCUGAUACUGGAUGGCUAGAGUUUGGGAGAGGGAUGCGGAAUUCCAGGUGUAGCGGUGAAAUGCGUAGAUAUCUGGAGGAACACCGGUGGCGAAGGCGGCAUCCUGGACCAACACUGACACUGAGGAGCGAAAGCCAGGGGAGCAAACGGG